AUGCUCAGCUCUUGGUUUCAUCUAGAUCAAAAGGUCUUAUUGACUUGUAAUGAAAAUGGUAUGAAAGGUUAGAAAACAAGGCUAAUGGAAGUAGAAACUAGAAAGAGGAGUAGAGAUCCUAGAACUUAGUGCACUCUUUAUUUAGCUUUUGGCCAGUCCAAUUUUUGUUAUUUCUCUCAACUCUUUUGCAUUUUUUCCAGGUCUUAUCUGUCAACUCUUUUGCAUUUUUCUCUUUUUUCCAAACUUGUUCUUUCUUUUGCAUACAACCAACAAUUCAUUUUUCUUUUUCUUUUUCACUUCUGGCCUAACUUUCCUGUUGCACUCACUAAAUUCUAGAUCUCCCUACUUCUCACGCGUCUCUACAGGUUGGGUAAUUGAUGGGAAAAUGGCUUAUAAUGAAUGGAAAUAAAGAAAAUGGCUAAAGCUAAAAAAGAAAGGUGCAAUGGAUAAAAGUGAAAUGAGUAAGAUAAAUUAACUAGGGAUGAAGAAAAAGAAUGCCUAAAUCAUGUCUAAAUUCUGCCAAGAGCAAGCUUAUCACAGAGAAUCAAUGCAAAAUCAGAAUUAAAAGUCAAACAUGCAUGAAAUCACUCAAGAAAGACAAAAAUUGGGCCAAAAAUCUCUCAAGGUUAAAAAUUUGCUAAAACUGACUUUCUA
rnacentral:lncRNA from 1 species